rnacentral:rRNA from 1 species
UGGGGAAUAUUGCACAAUGGGCGCAAGCCUGAUGCAGCCAUGCCGCGUGUGUGAAGAAGGCCUUCGGGUUGUAAAGCACUUUCAGCGAGGAGGAAGGUGGUGAGCUUAAUACGCUCAUCAAUUGACGUUACUCGCAGAAGAAGCACCGGCUAACUCCGUGCCAGCAGCCGCGGUAAUACGGAGGGUGCAAGCGUUAAUCGGAAUUACUGGGCGUAAAGCGCACGCAGGCGGUUUGUUAAGUCAGAUGUGAAAUCCCCGGGCUCAACCUGGGAACUGCAUUUGAAACUGGCAAGCUAGAGUCUCGUAGAGGGGGGUAGAAUUCCAGGUGUAGCGGUGAAAUGCGUAGAGAUCUGGAGGAAUACCGGUGGCGAAGGCGGCCCCCUGGACGAAGACUGACGCUCAGGUGCGAAAGCGUGGGGCAGCAAACAGGAUUAGAUACCCUGGUAGUCCACGCUGUAAAACGAUGUCGAUUUUGGAGGUUGUGCCCUUGAGGCGUGGCUUCCGGAGCUAACGCGUUAAAGUCGACCGCCUGGGGAGUACGGCCGCAAGGUUAAAACUCAAAUGAAUUGACGGGGUCAUAGCUG